AAAACCCUCCAACGACACAACCAACCCUUCACAAUGGCAAAUGCACAACUAACAUGUGAGGAAAAAAAAAUUAUAUUAAAGUGCUACUGGAAGCACGAAAAUGUCAUGGAAGUGCAAGGACAAUUUAACAGACAGUUUCAGAAGACACCACCAACACAACACACUAUCGCUUGCAUCAGAGAUAAAUUUGAAGCGUACGGAACUGUUCAGAACGUUAGUAAGCAAUGCUCUGGAAGACCAUGAACAUCUACCAGCCCCAAUAGACACAACCAAUUAAUG